CUCCUUUUCAUUAUUGUCUGACUUCUUCCUUAAUUAUUUCACUCCUUGUGCUAAUAUGCAACAGAUUGUCUUGAACAUGAUAUGGUCCACUAGAAUCUCACUCCACUGCAACUUCAUUACUUGGCAAUUGUAAUUGUAAUGCUUCAUUUGUCUUUGAUGUAACUUCAUAAGUGACAAUUUUGAGACUGUAUGGAGAAUAGGCUAAUGUUUCUGCAGAGCCUAAUGUAUCACAUUGUAUUACUGCACUUAACAGUGUUGCUGCUCAUGCAUUUUUUCACAAUGCUUUACAGUGAGAGUUGAAGGCUAAGUAAACAAAUAUCCCGGUGGAAUAGGAUUCAGGCACUGACUUGGGACUUGCUGUGGGAAAAAGUUCACAUGAGGCAAGAUGAGAUUAAGACAAUGAAAAAGAAUAAAAAUGAAAAGGACUAAAACAAAAAAAGAUUUAUUGUUCUUUGGGAAAUCUCAAGGCCAUGGAUUUCUGUUCUUACUUAACACUGCACUUUUGUAUUUUCAGAAAGAAUCCAGAGGUAUGCAGAGAAAGAGUCAUCAUGUUGUUUGCAGACUGGAGCUUCAGAUCAAUGAAGAAAGAAAGAGGUGUACAUGCAUGUUAGCAAGCUUAUAAGAAUGACCCCAAGUGGAGCCUUAGUUCAGGAAGAACAUCAACGUAAACCAUCAUGUGUGCCACCAAGAGAUUCCAGAUAUGCUGACUGAGUGGAACACGCCUCCACCACCCAAACCAGAUUGGAAACAUCAGUCAUCAGACCCAGUGGAAAAAUAGACGGCUGAGAAUAACUCUAAGAGAAGAAUUUUCUCUUCUAAAUAAAAAACAAACAAACAAACA
rnacentral:lncRNA from 1 species